UGUGUUAUUUGAUUAACGCGGUGUUUUAGGU
rnacentral:piRNA from 1 species